rnacentral:rRNA from 1 species
AACCUACGGGAGGCAGCAGUGAGGAAUAUUGGUCAAUGGCCGAGAGGCUGAACCAGCCAAGUCGCGUGAGGGAUGACGGCCCUACGGGUUGUAAACCUCUUUUGUCGGGGAGCAAGACCCGCCUCGUGCAGGCGGAGCGAGAGUACCCGAAGAAAAAGCAUCGGCUAACUCCGUGCCAGCAGCCGCGGUAAUACGUAGGUGGCAAGCGUUAUCCGGAUUUAUUGGGUGUAAAGGGCGUGUAGGCGGGAAAGCAAGUCAGAUGUGAAAACUCAGGGCUCAACCCUGAGGCUGCAUUUGAAACUGUU